rnacentral:rRNA from 1 species
GUUAGGAAUAUUGGACAAUGGGCGAAAGCCUGAUCCAGCCAUGCCGCGUGAACGAUGAAGGCCUUCGGGUUGUAAAGUUCUUUAGCCGAUGAUUAUAAUGACUGUAGUCGGAAAAUAAGCCCCGGCUAACUUCGUGCCAGCAGCCGCGGUAAUACGAAGGGGGCGAGCGUUAUUCGGAAUCACUGGGCGUAAAGCGUGCGUAGGCGGUCUCGUAAGUUAGGAGUGAAAGCCCAGGGCUCAACCGUGGAAUUGCUCUUAAAAAUGCAAGGCUAGAAUCUCGGAGAGGAUAGCGGAAUUUCCAGUGUAGCAGUGAAAUGCGUAGAUAUUGGAAGGAACACCAGUGGCGUAAGCGGCUAUCUGGACGAGUAUUGACGCUGAGGCACGAAAGCGUGGGGAUCAAACAGGAUUAGAAACCCUGGUAGUCC